AUUGAACGCUGGCGGCAUGCCUUAUACAUGCAAGUCGAACGGCAGCACGGGGGCAACCCUGGUGGCGAGUGGCGAACGGGUGAGUAAUGCAUCGGAACGUGCCCUGAAGUGGGGGAUAACGCAGCGAAAGUUGCGCUAAUACCGCAUAUUCUGUGAGCAGGAAAGCAGGGGAUCUUAGGACCUUGCGCUUUAGGAGCGGCCGGUGUCGGAUUAGCUAGUUGGUGGGGUAAAGGCUCACCAAGGCGACGAUCCGUAGCGGGUCUGAGAGGAUGAUCCGCCACACUGGGACUGAGACACGGCCCAGACUCCUACGGGAGGCAGCAGUGGGGAAUUUUGGACAAUGGGCGCAAGCCUGAUCCAGCCAUGCCGCGUGAGUGAAGAAGGCCUUCGGGUUGUAAAGCUCUUUCGGCGGGGAAGAAAUUGCUUCGGAUAAUACCCGGAGUAGAUGACGGUACCCGCAUAAGAAGCACCGGCUAACUACGUGCCAGCCGCCGCCGUAACAC
rnacentral:rRNA from 1 species